UGCGUAGGCUGCGCGGAAAGUUGGGUGUGAAAGCCCUCAGCUCAACUGAGGAAUUGCAUCCAAAACUACCGUGCUCGAGGGAGACAGAGGUGAGCGGAACUCAAGGUGGAGCGGUGAAAUGCGUUGAUAUCUUGAGGAACACCGGUGGCGAAAGCGGCUCACUGGGUCUCUUCUGACGCUGAGGCACGAAAGCUAAGGUAGCAAACAGGAUUAGAUACCCUGGUAGUCC
rnacentral:rRNA from 1 species